rnacentral:rRNA from 1 species
UUUCUAGUGGCGGACGGGUGAGUAACGCGUGGGUAACCUGCCCUAUACAGGGGGAUAACAACCAGAAAUGGUUGCUAAUACCGCAUAAGCGCACAGGACCGCAUGGUCUGGUGUGAAAAACUCCGGUGGUAUAGGAUGGACCCGCGUUGGAUUAGCCAGUUGGCAGGGUAACGGCUUACCAAGGCGACGAUCAGUAGCCGACCUGAGAGGGUGACCGGCCACAUUGGGACUGAGACACGGCCCAA